rnacentral:rRNA from 1 species
GGAUUGUAGUCUGCAACUCGACUACAUGAAGCUGGAAUCGCUAGUAAUCGCGAAUCAGAAUGUCGCGGUGAAUACGUUCCCGGGUCUUGUACACACCGCCCGUCACACCAUGGGAGUCGGAUAUGCCCGAAGUCAGUGACCCAACCAUAUGGAGGGAGCUGCCGAAGGUGGAGCCGAUAACUGGGGUGAAGUCGUAACAAGGUAGC